rnacentral:tRNA from 1 species
GCCGCGCGUGGCGGGGGAUGGCCUCGCGCUGCUGCUGUUCGCGCUCGUCGUGCUGCUGGUCGUGCGGCAGCGCGGCAC